AGUGAACGCUGGCGGUAGGCCUAACACAUGCAAGUCGAACGGCAGCACAGUAAGAGCUUGCUCUUACGGGUGGCGAGUGGCGGACGGGUGAGGAAUACAUCGGAAUCUACUUUUUCGUGGGGGAUAACGUAGGGAAACUUACGCUAAUACCGCAUACUACCUACGGGUGAAAGCAGGGGAUCUUCGGACCUUGCGCGAUUGAAUGAGCCGAUGUCGGAUUAGCUAGUUGGCGGGGUAAAGGCCCACCAAGGCGACGAUCCGUAGCUGGUCUGAGAGGAUGAUCAGCCACACUGGAACUGAGACACGGUCCAGACUCCUACGGGAGGCAGCAGUGGGGAAUAUUGGACAAUGGGAGCAAGCCUGAUCCAGCCAUACCGCGUGGGUGAAGAAGGCCUUCGGGUUGUAAAGCCCUUUUGUUGGGAAAGAAAAGCAGCGGGUUAAUACCCCGCUGUUCUGACGGUACCCAAAGAAUAAGCACCGGCUAACUUCGUG
rnacentral:rRNA from 1 species